UACUUGGCUGUCAAGAACAAAGAUUAUGGAGGUAUGCAAGCGUUAUCCGGAAUGAUUGGGCGUAAAGUGUCUGUAGGUGGCUUUUUAAGUCUGUCGUCAAAUCUUAAGGCUCAACCCUGGGCAGGCGGUGGAAACUACCAAGUUAGAGUAUGAUAGGGGCAGAGGGAAUUUUCGAUGGAGCGGUGCAAUGCGUAGAUCUUGAAAAGAUUACCAACAGCAAAAACACUUUGUGGGGCCGACACUGACAUUGAGAGACGAAAGCUAGGGGAGCGAAUGGGAUUAGAUACUCCAGUAGUUCUAGCUUUACACGAUGGAUACUAGGUGCUAUGUGUAUCGACCUGUGUAGUGCUGUAGCUAACGCGUUAAGUAUAUCCCCCUGGGGCGUACGUUCGCAAGAAUGAAACACAAAGGAAUGGACGGGGGCCCGCAGGCGGUGGAGCAUGUGGUUUAAUUCGAUGCAAAGUAAAGAAUCUUACCAGAGCUUGACAUGCAGCGGAUCCUCUUGAGGGAGAGGGGUGCCUUAGGGGAACAGCGACACAAGUGGUGCAUGGCUGAUGUCAGCUCAUGCUGUAUGGUGCUGAGUUAAGUCUCGCAACAAACGCAACCCUCGCGUGUAGUUGCCACCAUUGAGUUUGGAACCUUGAGUAGACUAUCGGUGAUAAGCCCGAGGAAGGUGAGGAUGACGUCAAAUCAUCGUGCCCCUUAUGCCCUGGGUGACACACGUGUUACAAUGUUUGGGACAAAGGGUUGCGAUCUCGUGAGGGUGAGCUAACUCCAACAACCCGUCCUCAAUUCGGAUUGCAGGCUUCAACUCACUUGCAUGAAGCCGAAAUUGCUAGUAAUCGUCGGUCAACCAUAUGGCGGUGAAUUCCUUCCCAGGCCUUGUACACACCGCCUGUCACACUAUGGGAGCUAGUUAUGCCCGAAGUUGUUACCUUAACCGCAAAUAGGGGGGUGUCGAAGGCAGGGCUAGUGACUGGAGAGAAGUCGUAACAAGGUAACCGUAUUGGAAGGUGCAGUUGAGUCACCUCCUUU
rnacentral:ncRNA from 1 species